UGGAAAUAAUUAUUAAUUAAAGAGCAAGAGGAAUGAAGGUUUUGUCUACUGUGAACAGUCUAUUUAUUUCGGCAAACCUAAAAGAUGAUAGAUGAUUAUAAUCAUAAAUGUUUUUCCAUUUUUAAGAGAGAUAACUAAGACUCGGAUGUGAAACAUGACAUGGGAAUAGGGAGAAGAGAUAGACUGUAUAAUGUUGUAACAUGAACAUGCCAAUUCAUCCAAAGUUACCUGAAAGAUCUUUACGAUUGGAUUGCAAGUAGUUAAUUUAUAAAGUUGAUUCUCUAAUCCAAAUAAAUCCAUCGUAGUUUCAGCAAAUCCUUAAAUUCCUUCUGCAAACUCUUGGAAUGUUACGAUGCAAUGGUGUAAUGGAUCAAAUUAUGGACUAAUGCUGCUUUUUACUCGCAUGGCACGUUAGAACACCUCUCUGGUCACUACAUGGCGAAAGCUAUGAGUAAAAAUAUUCUCAUUAAUGAAGCCUCUGAUGGACCUUUAGGAGGCAUAUGGCUCGUACACGUCAACGAAUAUGACGACUUGGACGGAGAGAGG
rnacentral:lncRNA from 1 species